GAUCAUUAAAAAAUACAUUACACAUUGUUUUUGCGAACAAAAAAAUAAAUUUUUUUAUUCGAAUUUCUUAAUAUCAAAACUUUCAACAACGGAUCUCUUGGUUCUCGCAUCGAUGAAGAACGCAGCGAAUUGCGAUACGUAGUAUGACUUGCAGACGUGAAUCAUCGAAUCUUUGAACGCACAUUGCGCCUCGAGGCAUUCCUCGAGGCAUGCCUGUUUGAGCGUCGCAUCCCCUCUAACCCCCGGUUAGGCGUUGCUCCGAAAUAUCAACCGCGCUGUCAAACACGUUUACAGCACGACAUU
rnacentral:misc_RNA from 1 species